rnacentral:RNase_P_RNA from 2 species
ACAGCUCGAAAGCCGCGAGGCUCACACCGCACAGGAACGCGCUUUUAGCGCAUCCAUUUUCGUGAGCGGGCUAAGGUCUGAGCAUUUCAAUCUCCCUGUGAUCGGCUCUAGCUGGGCCCCAUGCUAAUGCGUGGAGCGACGUACAAGAAAAACAGACUGCAGUUUUCGUCAGUACCCACGAUCCUUGUCACGAGGGGAGGGAAGAGAACUGUGGGCUUUGGAAACGUCGUGGAGAUCGGGCGGACGAUGCUGGCAGUGGGCGCCCUCCUGAUCCACUUUUAUCGCGGAUUCUGUGCUCUCUGAGCGCCUCAGAGGGACAUGAGGACAUCACGAUCCAAAUGUGUCGCCACGAACAGACAAUGGUCAUGGUUAAUGGGGGAUCCCGAUACAUUCUUUGAGACAUGUCAAUGGAACUUUAUACGCGCGUCUAUCAGAUUCCUGGUAGGCUGCUGCGGCGGGGCCUUGCGAUGUGUUUGCUGUCCGUAUGAGAAGAAUGGAGCUUCAGGGUCGUCUCACUGCUACUGGUACGCGUCCGUCCUUGAGUUCACUUCGCGGCUCGAGGACACAGUCAGCUUUGUCUGCGAAACUCGAUUCAGACUACUCUCGAGCUGU